UUUUUGUCUGUAGUCAUUCCUGAUCGUAUCUGAUCCUUCUAUCGCUAAGCAUAUAUUGAAGGACAACUCAAAAGCUUAUUCCAAGGGGAUUUUAGCUGAAAUUCUCGAUUUUGUCAUGGGAAAAGGACUCAUACCUGCUGAUGGCGAAAUAUGGCGUGUAAGAAGGCGGGCUAUAGUCCCUGCAUUACAUCAGAAGUAUGUAGCAGCUAUGAUCAACUUGUUUGGA